rnacentral:rRNA from 1 species
GAUGAACGCUGGCGGCGUGCCUAAUACAUGCAAGUCGAGCGAACGGACGAGAAGCUCGCUUCUCUGCUGUUAGCGGCGGACGGGUGAGUAACACGUGGAUAACCUCCCUAUCAGACUGGGAUAACUUCGAGAAACCGGAGCUCAUACCGGAUAAUAUUUUGACCCGCAUGGUUCAAAAGUGAAAGACGGUCUUGCUGUCACUUAUAGAUGGAUCCGCGCUGCCUUAGCUAGGUGGUCAGGUAACGGCGUACCAAGGCAACGAUGCAUAGCCGACCUGAGAGGGUGAUAGGCCGCACUGGAACGGAGACACGGUCCAGAGUACUACGGGAGGCAGCAGUAGGGAAUCUUCCGCAAUGGGCGAAAGCCUGACGGAGCAACGCCGCGUGAGUGAUGAAGGUCUUCGGAUCGUAAAACUCUGUUAUUAGGGAAGAACAUAUGUGUAAGUAACUGUGCAGAUCUUGACGGUACCUAAUCAGAAAGCCACGGCUAACUACGUG